rnacentral:rRNA from 1 species
UACGAAGGGGGCUAGCAUUGUUCGGAAUUACUGGGCGUAAAGCGCGCGCAGGCGGCCAUUCAAGUCAGGGGUGAAAGCCCAGAGCUCAACUCUGGAACUGCCCUUGAAACUGUAUGGCUUGAGUAUGAGAGAGGUGAGUGGAAUUCCCAGUGUAGAGGUGAAAUUCGUAGAUAUUGGGAAGAACACCGGUGGCGAAGGCGGCUCACUGGCUCAUUACUGACGCUCAGGCGCGACAGCGUGGGGAUCAAACAGG